UCUGCAGAAGAGGCCUUAUGCUCUUUAUG
rnacentral:piRNA from 1 species